GCAGAGAACGGGACCCCGUGCAGCUCGGAACGGCCCGAGCGGGCAGGGCUCGGCUUUUGAGCUGCUGGUGCUCCAGGGCUGCAGCCCCUCUGCUCUGGGAGAGCCGGGCGUGCCCGCCUGCAGAGGAGAAGGCUCCAGGGAGAGCUCAGAGCCCCUGCCGGGGCCUGAGGGCGGCUCAUGAAAAGAUGGAGAGUGACUUUUUAUACGGGCAGAUAGCGAUAGGACAAGGCAGAAUAGUUUUACACGGAAAGAAGUGAGGAAGAAGUUCCUCCCUGGGACAGUGCUGGCACAGGCUGCCCAGGGAAGCCGUGGCUGCCCCAUCCCUGCAAGUGCCCAAGGCCAGGUUGUCCCACCUGGGACAGUGAAGGGUGUCCCUGCCCAUGGCAGGGUGGAAUGAGAUGGGCUUUUAGAUCUUUUUCAACCCAAAUAAUUCCAUGAUUCCAAUAUUAUAAUCCCCCCCAAAGGCAAAGUAUCUGCACACAGAGGGUUCAGAGGCCAUUCUUGGCUAGAGCUGAAACCACAGGGCAGUUAAUACAGAGUAAAUUAGUAUUUUAAUUUAAUAUUCUGCUGAUGGUUCUCAAGGCUGCCUGUUUAUAUUGAAUUGUGCUUCACUUUCAGCGACUCUGACAGCCCCACUCCUGGCUGAGAGAGAGGCUUUCAGCACAAAUACAGAUUUGUAGAAUCUUUGAGGCUGGAAAAGACCUCCAAGAUCAUCAAAUCCAACUGUGAUUGCAGUGAAAUCCUUUAGGGGUGCCAGUUACCCAGAGCACAGUGGGAGAGCCCUGAUGAUGCCUCAGCUGGGCACCAAGGACAAAUGAUCCAAACCUCAGGCCCAACAGCACAAACAACGUGGGCUGAGGAGAGAAAAACAAGCAGGAUGGAACUGCAUGGGCUAAAGCUGGAAUUGGACAGUUAACCCCAAUAUGCAAAUGGAGCACUUAGAAAAGUGAGAGCCCCCAGGAGCGGUCGUGCAUUUUGGGACCAUUUUGGUUCAUCUUGGGUGCAGCCCUGGCUGGGCUCUGGUGCUGCCCAAGGUGGAUCCAUGGAGGAGAUCCUCUUAAUAAAUCCCUGCUUUAUUCUUUGGCUGCAUCCAGCCUCUGCUCUAGGGCAGCCUUGAGGCAUCACUGGAGCCAAAUGUGCAGUGGUUGAUGAGCCGGCCAGGCUGUGCUGGCUCCCCAGGCACUCUCCGAGCCCUCACAGCCUUGUUUGCCACCAGCCUGGCAGGGAGGUGGAGGGACAAUCCCAACACCCCACUGAGGGCAGGGACAGCCACCCAUUCCCUCCCUGGCCCAGGGCACGGGUGUGCAGAACAAAAGCAUUUCACACCCUUCCUCGAGUUUUAUUUGGGAAGGUAAAAGCAUUUCACACCCGUUGCUGCAAACCCUGCGUCCUGCUGAUCCCUCUGUGCCCCCCUCAUACUCAGUCCUUUGCCUCCGAGGGAGCCAGGGCUGCCCAGCUGCCACACCCCGCAGGCUUCCAUCCCUCCUGGGUGCAAUCCUGCCCAGCUCUGGCCGGCUGUAAACGCUGUGAAUCUCAUUGUACAGCCGAGCUCGGGCUGCCUGGCUGACGGCAGGGACACUGCUGAAAACAAACAGGUUUUUUUUUUUUUUUCCUCUUUGAUAAAAGAAAACAUUACCUCGCUGAGAUUUACACAGCAGAUCAAGCAUAAACCUGAAUUAUCUCCCUCCUCUCUUUCUCCAGGGAGCAGAUAAUGGGUGUAUGUCUCCAUCCCUCUGCUUUGUUCCUCAUCAUCCAGCUUGGCAGCGUUUUGGUUGCUAUUAAACCAUGCUCACACCCCUUGACAUUUAAAGGGCUGUUGUUUGAUCGCUGUCACAGUCCUGUACGUGGAUCCUUCAACAGUUCCCUCCUCCUCUUCCUACCAAUGAUGGAUUUUCUCGUUUACUCCACAGUAAUUUGCUUUCCUGUGCUCCAGCAGAACACUUUCACUGUCAGACGUGUGUUGUAGAUGCUGGUGAACCCAAUGGGGAGAAUGAUGAUGUCUAACUCCAGUUCAGAAGGCUGAAUGAUUUCUUUAUUAUAAUUAUGCUAUAUAUAAUACAUUAAUAUACUAUAUA